AAACCUGGCUCUGAACAGGCCCAGGCUUUCUGUUCUUCUAGGGCCAGAGGGUAGGGAGCUGUCCGUUCAGCACCAACACCUGCCCUCUAGCUUUGCAGAGCAAGUGCCCACAGCCAGUGUCCCCAGUGCCCAACUAGAAAAGGAGGCCAUGAGCCCUGUCAGAAGAUAGAGGAGCCCACUGUCAGAGUGGGAAUGAAUGAGCUAUUUGUGGUCCAUUUGUGACAAGCCAGACCCCAAAGUAGACACGUUGGUCAGGUGUCUCACUAGUGUUUAACCAUCUUCAGGUCCAAGACUGUCCCCUUGCUCAACCGAGAUGAUACUGGACCCAAGGGGUGAGGGUGACUUGUGCAAAGCUCCUCAAGUACAGUUCAGGUGGUCUGUGUUCUUUCCACAACUCCAGCAUGUCACAAAGACCAGGAGGCUCAGAGACCCAUGCCCCCGCCUCCCUGGCUAGAGAAGCUGGGACAGGUCUCCAGAGAGAUGCUCCAGAGAGGGAACAUGGCUUCUGUGAAGGAAAAGCUACCUACAGGGCUCUUCCCAGGGGCAGACACCAAUUGGGACAAGUGUUGAGGUAGACAAGAAAAUUCCUGAUCAAAUUUCACACGAGACAGUGUCUUUAAGUUGAAUUAAUGUGAAAUUGGGGAAAGUGCUGGUGCAGAAACAGGAAACAGGACAGAAAUCAUCAGCCCUUGUCUGAGGGAAUAGCUCACAGUGAGCAGGGUUUUCUCACAAUCAUUUCUCUGCAGAGAAUGAUGUUAUUUGAUCUAAAUGUCCUGAUGACCCAGACUCCUCUGGAGAGAGCCCGAGAGACCUUAAAGGGAGCACAGUGAAUCCUGGGCUGGCAGCAGGGAGAGCCUUUAAGGGGCUUGGAGGGGAAGCAGGGCAAAGACAUAUCUUGAGGGAAGAGGUUGAGGGCCAGACCCGUCUAGGCACCUCUCCAUACACAGAGCUCAAGUCAGGAAACCCCUCUACAGCUUGGAGGCAUGCCCUUUCUCCCCCUCACCAGGACCCUUCUCUUCCCCAUCACUGACUUCAGGGAGUCAUUAAAAAACAAAUCUCUGCUGUGAACUGGAUUGCUUUCAUCUCCCCCCUCCUCUUCAUUGUAUUAAAUGUUAAAUAUGCAAAUA